rnacentral:rRNA from 1 species
GAUGAACGCUGGCGGUAGGCCUAACACAUGCAAGUCGAGCGGCAGCACAAUAAGCUCUUUCUCUUACUGUUAGCGGCUGGCGGGCGAGUAACGCAUACAUCGCCAUCUACUUUUUCGUGGGGGAUAACGUAAAGAAACUGACACUAAUACCGCAUACUUCCUACCGCUUGAAGCAAAGGAUAUUCACGCCUUGCCCGAUUGAAUUAGCCGAUGUCGGAUUAGCUAGUUGGUGUGGUAAAGGCUCACCAAGGCAACGAUGCGUAGCUGAGCUGAGAGGAUGAUCAGCCACACUGGAACUGAGACACGGUCCAGACUCCUACGGGAGGCAGCAGUGGGGAAUCUUGCGCAAUGGGCGAAAGCCUGACGCAGCAAUGCCGCGUGGGUGAAGAAGGCCUUCGGAUUGUAAAGCUCUUUUGUUGGGAAAGAAAAGAUGUGGAUGAAUCUGCCGCCAUCCUGACGGUACCUAAAGAGUAAGCACCGGCUAACUACGUG